GAUGAAUGCUGGCGGCGUGCUUAACACAUGCAAGUCGAGCGGCAGCGAGGGUUGCUUGCUCCCUGUCGGCGGGCGGCGAACGGAUGAGUUACGUGUAGUACUUUGCCCCAAAGUGAGGGCUAACUGCCCGAAAUGGUAUCUCAUGCCGCACCUGUUCUUCCGUUUGAAGGGUUUAUACGCUUUGGGAGAAGCCUGCGUUGGAUUAGGUUGUUGGUAGGGUAAUGGCCUACCAAGCCGACGAUCCAUAGCCGGUCUGAGAGGGUGAUCAGCCAGACUGGAACUGAGACACGGUCCAGACUCCUACGGGAGGCAGCAGUGAGGAAUCUUCCACAAUGGGCGAAAGCCUGAUGGAGCAACGCCGCGUGAAGGAUGAAGGCCUUCGGGUUGUAAACUUCUUUUAUGAGUGAAGAAUAUGACGGUAACUCAUGAAUAAGCACCGGCUAACUACGUG
rnacentral:rRNA from 1 species